rnacentral:rRNA from 1 species
UACGAAGGGGGCUAGCGUUGCUCGGAAUCACUGGGCGUAAAGCGCACGUAGGCGGCUUUCUAAGUCAGGGGUGAAAUCCUGGAGCUCAACUCCAGAACUGCCUUUGAUACUGGAGAGCUCGAGUCCGGAAGAGGUGAGUGGAACUCCGAGUGUAGAGGUGAAAUUCGUAGAUAUUGGGAAGAACACCGGUGGCGCAAGCGACUCGCUGGGCCAUUACUGACGCUGAGGAACGAAAGCUAGGGGAGCGAAUGGG